GGCCUUUUCCACCCUUGAAAAGGACCCAGGUGGAGAGGCACCAGACAUCUUCACUCCCAAGUCAUCCUUCUAAAGGCCAGCUGAUCUGGGAAUAGACUAAACUAUUGUCGGACAUUUAAUUUUCAAGGAGAGAGCAAAGUGGCCGGGAGACUUUAAAAAUUGCUCUCAGCUUUAUGUGCAACUGCCUGUCUGGCUGGAGGUCACCACCAAACCCCACGUCUGUGAAGACUCCUGGGCUUAAAGGUGCAGGCAGAGCAUUUUUUCCUGGAGCUGAAGAAAAUUGCAAAGCUGAUCCUGCUUUCUUCAGAAUGGACUCAGCUCUACAACAGAACUCCAGUCCUUAUUUACCGGCAGGCUUGUGGCCGGCCAGGCCCCUCCAAUGGCCUUACCACUAACAGAGAACAAUGCAGAGAACAAGGUAUCAUCCCUAGAAGGAUUCCCUGCAAAGUCCUGGCAUAUUACUCCUGACAGCUUAGAGUUACAGAAAGACACAGCUCCACAUAAAUACCUGGUCUUGAAAAUUGCUGUUUCGCCAGAAGCAGACAUGGCCAAAGUAGCCACAAAAUGUGUUUAAGCAUAGGCUGUGCCAAACUCACGGGGCUAUGACAGAAUAAUACUAAUAUUGAUUGGACAUCCAUUAUGUCACACACUCUCUAUUUGUUCUUCUACAUCUACAGCAGCUCUGCAAAGGAGGAAUUAUGACACCAUGGCUGUCAGUAUGACACAAUGGCCAAGGCUUCUGGGACCAAAGCCAGUAGAUGAGGUUUGAAUUCUACUUGUGCCUCUUAUUAGCUGGGCAACUGUUAUGCCUUAUAUCUAGAAUGUCCCCAAAAGCCUCCUGUCCUCAGAGGUGGGGAUUUUUGAGGGAGAUUGGAUCGUGGGUGCUUCCAUUGCUGAGGUCAGGUCUGUCGCUGAGCAUGCUGACAGGACAGGGGGCCUGGGUGGAGCUGAGUCACUGGGGUGUCACCCAGAAGGCUGUCUCUGCCUCCUUGGCUCCUCCCUCCUCACGCUGUCUCUUGGCCACCCUGAUGUGAGCAGCUUUCUUCUCUGCCCCUCUGCUGUGCAACGUCUACCUUGUGGACAGCUGACCGUGGGCAGAAAAUGUGAGCCCAUAAACCUUCCUCCUUUAAGUUAUAGGUGCCGGGUAUUUUCUCCCAAAGACGAGAAAGCAACUAAGGUGGCGACGUUGAACAAGUCACUGAAUCUCGCUCUGCCUAAGCAUCCUCAGCAUUGCCAUGGAGAUGGUUAUUGUGCCAACUUCAUAGGACUGCAGGGAGUUCCCUUGGACCAGGAGGUAGCUCCAGAACAGAACAUCAGUUGUUCUGAGUCCAACCAAGCACAACCACAGAGAGAGGAGAGGCCCCCAAGAAUAAGAAUGGUUCCCAAAGUCACACAGCUGGUGAGAGGCAAACGCAAAUGACCAGAAGACUCAGAGCUGCCUGGUGGAGCUGGCGUGCCACGAGCCGGGAGCAGUCGCACUUCUGCCAGCUUGGCUCGCAGGCAGCAGUGCCCUG
rnacentral:lncRNA from 1 species